CCAGACUCCUACGGGAGGCAGCAGUGAGGAAUAUUGGUCAAUGGGCGAGAGCCUGAACCAGCCAAGUCGCGUGAAGGAUGACGGCCCUACGGGUUGUAAACUUCUUUUGUCAGGGAGCAAUUGAGUCCACGUGUGGUCUUAGCGAGAGUACCUGAAGAAAAAGCAUCGGCUAACUCCGUGCCAGCAGCCGCGGUAAUACGGAGGAUGCGAGCGUUAUCCGGAUUUAUUGGGUUUAAAGGGUGCGUAGGCGGACUUGUAAGUCAGCGUAAAACGCCCGGGGCUCACCCCGGGCGAGCCGUUGAAACUGGCUGUCUUGAGAUGUCGAGAGGUAUGCGGAAUGCGCAGUGUAGCGGUGAAAUGCUUAGAUAUUGCGCAGAACUCCGAUUGCGAAGGCAGCAUACCGGCGGCGAUCUGACGCUGAGGCACGAAAGCGUGGGUAUCGAACAGGAUUAGAUACCCCGGUA
rnacentral:rRNA from 1 species